ACACAGCGGCCCUGGCAUCUGUGUCACGCAACAAAACCACUACUCUCACGAAACCUCGCCAUCACCAUCCUUUAAGGGAAUACACCACCAAUGCAACACUCUUCCGCCGCCACCACCGCUAGCUUCACUACGAUUAGUCAUCACAAAUCUAUCACUACCAUUACCACCACAAUCAUCAUCAUUAACACUAAAACUAUCACAACAAUCACUACAAACCAGUUACAACCACAACCAGCACCGUCAUCACGUCUUUAUUGCCACCAGUGCCACACCACCGCAGUUAUCACUAUCACUACUAACUCUUCUACCACCGCAAUCAUCACAACGCCCAACACAAUCGCCACAACUAACUAACACCAGUCAUCACCUGAGCACUCCAUCAAAAGGCACAAGAUUAAACCAGCAACACAACCACCACGCAAUACAACACAACACAGUCAUGCACCCUCCUGGCCAAACAGAGCCACACCCCUGGAGGCCACAUGACUUGCAGCACUAUCAGGGCAGAACAGCAGCCGGCACAGCACGAUACAGUCCCACGACGGCACCAGCAUCGUCUCCAUCCCCACUACAAUAAGCACAAUCCGCACAACAAUACAAUAAUCUCUACACCACCGACACAAGCAUUCAUCGUGCGUGCAAAGGUGUGGAAGGAGAGGAGGGAGAGAGGAAGAGAGGCGCGUGAUAGGGUGAGAGAGCCCGGGAAGGGAGACAGGGAGUGGGAGGCGUUGUGAGUUGGUCAGUCGGGCGUCGUCAGCGGCCGCGUUCGCACUGUUCAAGUCGAGGCAGCAGCGGCGCGCCACCUGCCGUCACAACUUUGUCGUGACCUUCUCCACACCUUCCCAGUUUGCCUUACCUCUCCAGAGACAAAGUACAUACCUUUUGUGAUCAAUAAAUAGUCUGUAUAUUAGCUUCAGUUAUACACAGUGGCACUUUAUUUUCACAUUUUCAUCUUGGUCUCGCGUUUCGGUCCCGCCAGCGCACCGCCGCCUCGCGCCUCGCGGUGGCCUGGUGGUGACGCAACUUUUCUUAGUUUCUGUCAAGCCUGAUUCGCUUGGAGGCCUCCUCGCCUGCCCCAAAGGAAGACAAGUGAAAUCUGCUGCACCAUCCAAGACAUCAGAGGCGGGCUGUGUGUGGAGGAGCCCCGAGACAGCGCCUCCCGCCACGCCGCCCCCGUCACAGGUGAGGCUGAGCAGCGCCGUCACGCAGAACAGGUCGCACAGGAGAAGUAAUUCGAUAUAAUGUAAGGCUGACUGGCUAGACCAGCGAGGUAACAGCAGCAGUAAAGGGAGGCCACACGGUUGGUGGAGAAAUGAGAUUGAAAAGUUUCAAGACGAAACUUGACAAAGAUUGGCACAGUGCUGGGACUUGAGGAGAAAAGUUUGAAGAUCCCUUUCUUCAGCAGCGGGCUGCUGCUGCUGCUGCUACUGCUGUUGCUGAUAAUGAUGAUAGUGAUGAUGAUGAUGAUGAUGAUGAUGAUGAUGAUGAUAAUAAUGGCAGCACAUCUGCGCUAUUAGAAUACUAAAUUAUUAAUAUAGCUGAGGACAUAAAUUAAAAUGCAAACAACACGGGUGAAAGUGAAAUAGUUAACAAAUAUUAAUAUACAAUAAAUUAACUGUCUCUGGUCGCAUAUGCAUCACAAGACAGGUGCGUUUAAAAUAUGGUGACAGGUAAAAAAUUUUUCAUCCACUUGUUAACAAGUAGGCAAGCAAUCUCACUGACUUAUACAACGCUUGUUCUUUGAUGAGACCACAUUUCUCUGACAACAAACUCACCGGUCACAUGUUGAGGAGAGCAGACAAUACGACGCUCAUUUUCACUGUCCAAAAUCCAGAGGCAGGUGCAGACGGGUUAGACAGUGCGUCUCAUCAACGCUGCUGUGUUUGCUACACAGAAGCUUUUUUUCUCUUUUUUAAAUUCUCAUUGUA